AAGCCUUGAUUGCUCCACUGCCCUCAGCCUGGGCAAGAGUAAGACCCUGUCUCAAAAACAUGUUUUAAAGAAAGCAUCACGAGGUUCAUCUGAUCUUUCUGCUUACUCCUCUGUGAAACCUAAGAACAAUUAAAAAAUCGGCCAGGCGCGGUGGCUCACUCAUGCCUGUAAUUCCAGCACUUUGGGAGGCCGAGGCGGGCAGAUCACGAGGUCAGGAGUUUGAGACCAGCCUAACCAACAUGGUGAAGCCCCGUCUCUACUAAAAAUACAAAAAUUAGCUGGGCGUGGUGGCGCGUGCCUGUAAUCCCAGCUACUCAGGAGGCUGAGGCCGGAGAAUCGCUUGAACCCGGAAGGCGGAAGUUGCAGUGAGCCGAGAUCUGGCCACUGCACUCCAGCCUGGGCGACGAAGUCAGACUGUCUCUACACACACACACACAAAUCAGGAGCUGACUACCGGGCUGAAAAGGGCUGCCGGUCUCCUAGAAGUUGUCAUCACGACGACAGCACUUUUUCUAAAUUAACAGUUGUUCAAAUCUGUGGUAAUCUCAUUUGCCAUUUGCCACAGCUCAGUGCAACUGACAGCUGCACUGAGUAGCAGCGGAGCCGGUACUUGAGGAAAUUAAGCACCUGGCGCACCUGACACGACCGCACUAAACCGAGUCAGCGGCUCUUGCCUCCCAUCGGCCUACGCGGUGCGAAGCCCCGCCCCGCGGGCGUCGGGCUAGUAUCAGAGGGCGCGCGCCGCGUCAGGAUCCCGGAACCCGCCCCGUUAGAUGGAGGGUAGAUGGAGAAUCCAGACGCUGAGACCCAGCUUCCAAGAUGCUACUGAUGCAACUUGUGCCACUGACCAGCUAUGUGGCUUGGAGACUUGUCUGUGCCCAAGAGUUCCUACUGACCUCCUGACAUAAUGAACUGCCUGUUCCCUACCUCCUACAGAAAUUAUGAGGGUUCUUUCCAUAGCACCCAGUGACCUGAAUUGUGGCCGUAUCAGAACACAUCAUCACCAGAUCAAGGAGCGAAAAAGUGCUUUGCUUUUUAAAUUAAGUGUUUAGAAACCUGAUGAUGAGCAAGGAAAAGAAAAACACCAUUAAAGAGACCGCUGCUGCUCCUCAGAGUGUUCUUCAGUAUGCUGAGCAGCAUCUCCAUCUUGGUCAUCAGCUCCUGUAUCCAUUUCCUCCUCCUCUGCCUUGUCAUCUUCACUGGGGCCUUCCUCGGGCUCAUGUGGACUCUGACUUUCAUUCUGGUCAGUCUUGGUCUCUCUGCUUUCCUCAGCUUCAUGACCUGCUUCUUCCGGGUUUUCUUUUAUCUCCAAAGGAUUCUCUUCUGUAUAGAUACAACAAAAAGGAAGAACACACAAUUUUUUAAACUUACAUGAUUUCUUAAGCUGGGAGCCAGUUAUGCAAGUUUUGUCUUACUACAAUUCUCUAAACCAGCGAUUGGCAAAUUGUGACCCAUAGGCCAACCUGGCCCUCCACAUGUUUCUAUGAAGAAAGUUCUACUGGCCGGGCAUGAUGGCACAAGCCUAUAAUCCCAACACUCUGGGAGGCUGAGAUGGAAGGAUCUCUUGAGCCAAGAAGUUCAAGACCAGCCUGGGCAUGCAGUGAGUCCCCAUCUUUUACAAAAAAUGAAAAACUAGCCAGCCAUGGUGUCACAUGCCUAUGGUCUCAGCUACUCAGGAGGCUGAGGCAGAAGGAUCACUUGAGCCCAGGAAGACAAGGCUGCAAUGAACUAUGAUUAUGCCUCAGCAUUCCAGACUGAGUCACAGGACAAGACCCUGUCUCAAAAAAAAAAAAAAAAUUAUUAUCUGAAACUUUAUAAGAAAAAGUUUGCCCAUCCUUGUUCUAAACCAUACUCAAACAGUUGUUUCAAUGGCAUGUUUCAUUAAAAACUAAUAGCUAAUCUACCCCCCACCAAAAAGAACCCCAUAAACCAAAAAAAACACAGUAGGAAAAUUUUAGGCCAAUGAUAAGAAAUGAAGCUUAUAAUGCUCAAUUAUCAUUGUGAAUAAUUGGUGGAUAUCCUCAUAUAGAAAAAAUACAACUCACAUUGAAAUAGAAACACUGUUAUUUUGAAAAACUUUUGUCAAAAGAGCUUUUCUAUACUUUGGACACUUAAAAUAUCAGUUAUUAGCAAAGUCUUAAAAUAACUGUCUUAUUUAAUUUUUUUUUGAGACAGAGUCUCAACUCUUGUUGCCCAGCCUGGAGUGCAAUGGCGCAAUCUCGGCUCACCACAACCUCUGCCUCCAGGUUCAAGUGAUUUUCCUGCCUCAGCCUCCUGAGUAGCUGGGAUUACAGGCGUGCACCACCACACCUGGCUAAUUUUGUAUUUUUUAGUAGAGGCAGAGUUUCUCCCAUGUUGGUCAGGCUGGUAUUGAACUCCCAACCUCAGGCGCUCCCAACCUUCGGCCUCCCAAAGUGCUAGGAUUACAGGUGAGCCACCACGCCCUGCUAAUUUUUUAAUUUUUACAGACAAGGAGUCUCAUUUUGUGACCCAAGCUGGAGUGCAGUGGCAAGAUCAUGGCCUAUUAUAGCCUCAACCUCCCGGGUUCAAGUGAUUCUCUAGCCUCAGCCUCCUGAGUAGCUGGAACUACAGAUGUGUGCCAUCAUGCCCAACUAAUUUUUUAUUUUUAGUACAGACAGAGUCUCUACUAUUGUUGUUCAGGCUGGUCCCAAACUCAGAGCUCAAAUGAUUCUCCCACCUUGGCCUCCCAAAGUGUUAGGAUUACAGGCAUUACACUCUGUGACCAACCUAUUUUUUUUUUAAUCUAUUAUUUAAUUAGCAAAUAAUUUUAAAUACGCCAAUGAUUUUAAAUACUUGUUCCUUAGUAUACAAAAUGUGUCUGGCUAUUUUUUUUUAAUUUUUAUUUUUUUGAGACAGAGUUUUGCUCUUGUUACCCAGGCUGGAGUGCAAUGGCGCCAUCUCGGCUCACUGCAACCUCCGCCUCCUCGGUUCAGGCAAUUCUCCUGCCUCAGCCUCCUUAGUAGCUGGGAUUACAGGCAUGCGCCACCAUGCCCAGCUAAUUUUUUGUAUUUUUAGUAGAGACAGGGUUUCACCAUGUUGACCAGGAUGGUCUCGAUCUCUUGACCUCAUGAUCCACCCGCCUCCGCCUCCCAAAGUGCUGGGAUUACAGGCUUGAGCCACCACGCCCGGCCAUGUCUGGCUAUUUAAAAGCAGAUAGCUUAUUACAUUCUCAGUGGAUUUUAAUUUUCUUAAUUUUAUGCUUUCUUGGUUAUUGACUUUGCACCUAGAUCCCAAGUUAAUUUUUACAUAAAUGGCCUCUUAUUUAUUUCUUUCUAACUUGCUAUUUUUGUUCUAAUACAGUAUUAUAAAAAUAUACAUUUAUUUUUCAAAACAGAUUUUAUAACUGUAUAACUGAUUCAUUUAUCAGUGAGGCUAGCCCGUAUCUUUCUGUCUGGUUAAGCAGCAGGAAUGGGGCCCUCUAUUACAGGGGCACCUCCAACACAAUGCUUUCAACCAAUACCAGACAAUAUUCUCUAAAGGAGUCAAGAGGGUUGAAAAAAUGGGUGACAAAGGCACUAAAUACUGUCAUAUUCCCUGUGAUUUCUCUUGGGAUUAGUCUCGUUCCCCACUAUACACAUGUGAAAAUCAAUAACUAAAACCAUCAUUUCCCUAAAAAAGCUGUAACUGGACUCCACAAGAGCUUGGUAUGCCCAGACUGCACAGCAUUUACAUCAUCCCAUGAGAGGGACACACAGUAAUGGCUAUGAAGAUACAGUGGUAUGUGUGAAGCACUACCAGGGCAUAGCAGAUAGGACGUGACAGUAGUUUGAGAGAUACAUGUUGGUUGAUGAGCUGUAGGGCACACUCACAUGAGAAAUACUACAAAGGCAAGGCAAAUCAUUUCCUUAAACUGAGAUUGAGCCAACCAAAAUGCUUUAUCACCUGGCCAUAACACUGAGCUAGCUCUCAAAAGACAAAUUGGUUAUUGGUCAUUUGUAGUGAGUUCUAACUGGUCUAUGUUUCUGAAAGAUUCACCUUCUCCUUCUUCGUUGUCAGUGUCCUCACCAACAUUCUUGUCCUCACUGUCGAGGUUCAAGUCAUCUGGAAGGUCCAAGGACUCAGGUUCUGGCAGCUUUUCCUGAUUGCCAUGUGCACCAUGUGAACAGUCCUUACCUUCUGGGCAAGCUCCGUGAAGACCUGGGCAAGCACAGAGAGCAGCUUCGCAGUACCACGGUGAGUUGCCAAAGACAUGGUCAGGAAGAAGAGGACGAGGUCUGAGUAGCUGGAGAGGAUGGGCAUGAGGCGCGCCAGCAAGGAACAAGAUUGGCUGAAGAACUGAGAUCAAAACAAAAAAAAGGCCAGCUCACACUGCUUGGCGGGUACCAGGUUUCUGUUCUGGAGCUACUUAGUGGUGGUAACUGCACAACAUUGUGAAUGCACUAACUAGUACUAAUGGCAAGUUACAUGUAUGUGUUUGUAACCCCCAUCCCACCCCAAUACACACAGCUCACUGAGAUUUCUUCAUUUACAUAAAUCAUCACAGACGUACACUUUAAGUUCUCAGACUGACGUCUCUUUUGGCUCACAAUGUUGGUUUUUAAAAAACAGAAUGUUGGCCAGGCACUUUGGGAGGCCAAAGUGGGUAGGCUGCCUGAGCCCAGGAGUGCAAGACUGGCCUGGGCAAUGUGGCGAACCCCAUUUUUGCAAAAAAAAAUACCAAACCAAAAAAACAUAUAGCCAGACGCCAUCUCUUCAAAACUUUAAAAAUUAGCUGGGCAUGGUGGUACAUGCCUAUAGUGCCAGCUACCUGGAAAGCUGAGGUGGGAGGAUCACCUGAACCCAAAAGGUCACAACUGCAGUGAACCAUGAUCAUGCCACCACACUCCAGCCUGGGACACAGAAUGAGACCUUGUAAAAUAAAAUAAUCUUUUAUGUAUGAAAACUUUACAAUUUUUUUUUUUUUGAGACGGAGUUUUGCUCUUGUCACUCAGGCUGGAGUGCAAAGUCUCGAUCUCGGCUCACUGCAACCUCCGCCUCCCAGGUUCAAGUGAUUCUCUUGCCUCAGCCUCCCAAGUACUGAGGAUUACAGGUGUGCGCCACCAUGCCUGGCUAAUUUUUUUUUUUUUUUUUUUGUAUUUUUAGUAGAGACAGGGUUUCACCAUGUUGGCCAGGCUGUUCUUGAACUUCUGACCUCAGGUGAUCCACCUGCCCUGGCCUCCCAAAGUGCUGGGAUUAUAAGCAUGAGCCACCACGCCCCCACCUUUUAUUUGAGAUGGAAUGAGACCUUGAACAAUUAAAAAAAAAUUAAAUAAAAUAAUGUUUAUAAAUAAAUUCUAUUGCUGAUUCAAAGUUAGCACUAGAGGCAAUGCUAUAGAAUAACAUACAAUGUCCUACAAAGUGAGUUGCUUCUCUGGACUUACUGCAGAGACUACAACUGCUUACUCUGUUGGCUGACCAUAGUGGAAACGGUGUUUACAAAAGAUGGCCGCCAAGCCUCAGUUGAUAACAUCAUCUAUCAUUAACAUCAAAUACUUGGGAGUAUGUGAGUAAGAUUUGAAAGAAUCCUAAUAUAAUGGAUACUCUGAAUGCGUAGCAGUUUUGCACUUAAUGCAUCUUACAAUUAGCUAGCAAGCCCUAAGCUUUUCAAAGCUUGUCAAUGACUUUGCACGUAUAAAUAAAGAGACCAAGUUCUUGGUGACGGUGGCACUGAGGCCUGCUCUGGGACUUAACCACAUGGAGUGAGGUGAAGCCCACUCUGCCUUUGCUCAGUGCACUGGGAAAAGCUUGUAAAGAACAGUUAGUUACCAGGUGCUUUGCUGCUGUGCCAUCCUCACCAUAUGAUUUCAGCCUCUCCAACAGCUCAGAGAUGGCAGAAAUUAUUUUCUGCACAUGCAAAGUGCUCACAUCGGCCCAGAAGUCAUCCUCUAAGAGUUUUGUUAGAUGUCCUGAUUGCAAUCUCUCAAAGCCUGCUGCCCCAUUCAUUCAGAGAAAAAAACAUGAUGAAUAACAGAAAACAAAUCCUUUCAUCUCUAUUCAUGCAGACAUCUAACAUUCACCCUUAACUAUUUAGCCAUAGAAAUAAAUCAUCAAAUAUAAAAAUUAAAUCAGGCAUGAAACUGAUUUCUGCCUGAUCUCAGACAUACCACACUCUUCUUGCAGGUUUGCUUGGUCAGUGUCCUCCUCUGCUUUUUCGUUCUUUCUUUCUACUAAGUUCUGAAUGGCACAGAGGAUGGCUCGGAUGGCAGUUUCCAUUUGCUCGAAAAAAUCUUCCACAAACCCUUCGUCCAACAUUUGAUUUCCUAGGAAGUAACGGUGCAAAACAAGCAUACAAAUGAAAGACACAAUCAUUUGGUUUAGUCCGUCUGGAAAUCAUUAAAAAUACUCAUUUACUGAUGAGCUCCUUGUCAAGCUGUGCCAGAUACAAAGAAAAGAGACAAAUUCCUUUUGCCUCGAUAAACCUACACGUUUAUUACCUUGUAUUAAAACAAUUUUACUAAAACAAUGUAAAAAAAAUAUGAAAAUAACUGUUAAGACAGUAUGAACAUUAACUUAGUCCAAAUAUCAGCUCCAAGCUUUUUCAGUCUAAGGGAAAACUAACAGACAGUGAGUUUUGUGCUGCCUUCCUAUGUGUACUACAGAGUAUGUAACAGGCAUUCAAACAAAUGGGGCAAAAGUUAAGAGCUGUGGAUUUCAACUGCACCUCCCUGCCUCAGAACCCUGGACAGGUACCUGUAGACCAAAACAUAGUAUGUCUUUGGGAUAAUGAGACUUACAUCUACAAGACAUCAUUUCUGUACUGGGCUUCUAUUCCCUGACUGAACAAUAUUCCUUACCUCCUUGGCUACCUGAAGUAAGUAAAUGUGUCUUCCAGGUGGUAAAGUCAGCCACGGCUUUACUAACUUCUCCUCUUAUAUAUUCCAGACUUUCAACUAGUGCCAUCUGUGAGUCUCUUUGCUCAACCUCCAUCCCUGGAAGAAUGAACAAGGACUCUAGGCCCUGCAAAUGAGCUGACAUCUGGGACAAGCAAUUCAGUGCAGAAGAGCAAACUUCAAAAUCUUUCCUGCAACAGAAAUGCCACAAUGUUGAAAAGAAUGCACUACAGUUCCCACAAACACACACCCCUCCCUCCAACCACUACAAUGUGUGCAAGGUAGAACGCACCCUGUCUGAAGGUUACAGCUGAACACAAUGUGCUGUGCAGGUCCACUGAGUAACACAGGACUGAAUCACAAUUCUUUUCAUAAUUUUAUUCCAUUACUGAACACCUAGGUGUAGUAAUUUAAUAAAUUCAUAAACACCUAGGUUUAAUAAUGGAACAAAAUACUAAACACCUAGGUUUAGUAAUGGAAUAAAUUACUAAAUAAAUUACUAAACUUAUUCCAUUAAGACUAAUGAUAUUCCAUUAGCAGGAUGUGAUUUGCUCUCCCUGAGGAUUAUUUAGGGCUUCAUCUGUGCAUCUUUUUGCUACGGCUGUUUCCACUAAAGUCUCAGAACCUGCAGAUGACACUCCCUAUCCCCUCCCCACCCCAUACCCUAAACGAUGAGUUCCCUAGACCCCAGGGCUGUCUGACAACUGCUGCUUUCUGUUAGCACCCUUUCCUUCCCAUCCCCAAUUUAGAUAAGCAAAAUUAAGAACCUAAGCACACAGAGAAGAGUAAAGAUAGACACACGUACCAAGAAUGAAAGAGAGUCUCACAAGACUGCUGCCUAAUUUUGUCAAUGUCAGCUUUCACUGUUGUAAUGGUUUUUAUCAUCUCUGUUAAUCUCAUAGUUGACUGUUGCCAAAGCUGAUCCUGUUUCCGCAUCCGGCAACCAAAGGGCAGCUGAAUUCCAGGAACUGGAGAUGGGUAGCUCAGAUUAGAGGGAAUGAGGUCUUGUACAACUCCACAAAGUUGUCCACUGCUAAGUUCUGGUCCUUCCGGGCAGGGGGCAGGAGGCUGACCCAAUGCCUGGGCAUCGCCAUGGCCUGGAGCUGGCCCCACACUGGGGCAGCACUGGAGGAGCCAGGAGAGCUGCUCAAGCAGGAUCUGGCACUGCAUGGCCAGGUGCUGCAGGCGCUCAGUCCACUGCUGCACGCCAUCCUGAGGAGGAAAGGCCACGGGGUAGGCCAGGGGCCCUGUCAGCCUGCUAUUAAUCUCUUGCACACAGCUGAGGAGGUUCCUGUACAGAGAAUCCCAUGGGAAAAACACAAUGAAUGGCACCUUAAACCAUGUUACUAUAUUGUUUUAAAAGAAAUUUUGUGUUUCUGAACAAGCCUGGGCUUUUCCAUGUAGUCAAGAAGGAAGAAUCUCCCAGAUAGGUAAUAAGUCUGUUAAAAUGCCUCCCUCAGUCUUUAACCCAUCCCUCAGUCUUUCAGGAAAAGCAUCACAACACAAACACACCACUAUAGAGACUUCAACUAGGAUUAUCUAGUAAAUGUACUGCACUUUGUUACAUAAACCCUAAUGAAUGGAGCAGGAAAUACCUGAAGCUAGAGUGAACAGUCUGGAAGUACUAUCUCUCAGCUACGAAUUCAUUCAACAGAUGAUGACAACCUUCCUAACUGUCCUCAUCUCUUAAUUAUCUGUUUCCAUUGAGGAGCCUCCAUGUGUAACUCAGCAGAUCCCAAAAGCUUAAGUAAUAGAAGCAGACUCAAAUCUCAUCUGUGCCCAAGACUGGGACACCCUGAUACCAUGAACAUGACCCUAUCUAGCAGCCCACAUGGACUUCCAGCAACAUAUAUCCUCAUUCCAGACACAGGUAUAGUUCACCCAUGACAAUUUUCACUGCCUGAUGCAGCCCCAAAAUCUCCCUGACUAUAUUCUCAGGAGGUGUAUAGUCAGAACGCGGAGGGAGAGGGCCACUAGAGGCGUAUCACUGAAAGCAAGGGGCAGAGCUGGGAGAAACCCUACCUACCUCUUUGGGCCUUAAAUUCAUUUCACAACUGAGAGCAUGUCUUACACCUCUCCCCAUAUGCGGCAACUCUGAGCUGACUGACCCAACUCUUCCCAGUAGCCCAACUCAUCAGCUGAUACCUGAGGAUGAUCCACUGCUCACUAAGCGUGGUCAGGGACUGCCGCUGUCGGACAAGCAUCUUCAUCAAAUGUGCCGAGAACCCUCUGCACCGCUCUGCGUUGGCCAUGCCCAUCUCCUGGCAGAAGAAGGAAAAACAUGCUGAUGGGACUGCUGGCAAACCCCACCCACAGCUGUGCUUCUAGAAAGUCGUUUCUGGACUCUUCCAGGGGAGGAGUCCCUUGCUAAUAUAAGUGACAGACAUGCACUCUAAAGGUGACAUAACAUUUGGUCCUGCUGGCAAGUGUAACAGAAUUUAAGAUGCUCUCUGAUUUUACAAAGAAUUACAUUGAUUUAUAUUUUAAGUUUAAGGAUAUACUGCAAAAAAGCUCAGUUCCACUAACAAGCUGUUAUCACUUAACAAGGUCUGAGAAUGUGGCCUGGGAUGAACAGAAUAAGAGCUUUCCCUGGUCCCCUGCAA